ACGGGCCCGGGCCUGAAUUCAGACCAGACAGACUCUUCUUCAGUUCUUUGGAAUAGUUCGCAACAGCUUCGUCCUCAGACAACUACUCUCUUCCAUUCACAGCCUUCAUCAACCGUUCGCUCUACCCUCUUCUGUCCCCGUCUCCGGCCUCUAGUCCCAAACAGAUGGGGUCAAAAGCAGUCCUAUGACCCUCAGAUGGUGGUUUGAAGAAGACGGGCCACAUUUCAACUCUCGAUCUCGACUUACCAUAAGCACAUUCCAACAUUGAACAGAGGGGGAAAUGCAGGGAUGGUAUCUUCCACCAGAUCCAAUUUGACCAAGAAUAAUGUGUUUUGGGGUUGGUUCUUUGUCCUUGUUGGGUUCGUUUCAUUUCUUGGAUUCCUUUUCACUGCAGUCAUAUCAAAACUUCUUCAUGCUUCGGAUAAUCCAGUAUUAUCGGCUAUUCAAAAAGACAGGUAUUACUGCUUCUUGGCUCCCUUAACAAUCCCCGUCCUUGUAGCUGCUGUAUAUUGUCACUGGCUUAGCAUGAAGCUGUUCAAGCAUGCAUGAUGUUUAUAGCAUCAAUGAAAGAGGUUACAGCAGCAUGCUUCAGUGCAAAUCUUGAUCUAUUGGUGAGAAUUUUAACUUCGAGGAGUUGACAUUUGGCAAUCAUGACUUUCCUUAGGAGUCCUUAGCAUUCAUAUAUUCCUACAAAGAAAUAAUGGGGCAUUUGGUUCAUAAUUGAAUGCGUGAGAGUGCGAAGUGUGCGUGAAAUGAGUCUGAGGUGGGAGUAACAAUGAGUAUAAGGUGAGCAUGAUCACGUUUGGUUCGGUUCGGAAAUAAAGUUUGAGUAUGGGUGUGAGAAAUUUUAAUUUGUAAUGAAGGUUAAUAGUUUUUUGCAUGUUAAAA